rnacentral:lncRNA from 1 species
UCUCAACACAAUAUUCAGGGUUUUUGCUGAAACAGCGGAAGAAUAGUAUCUCAUACAGGCAAUCAAAUGUUUCAGCUGGGAAGACACAAAUGCAUCAUUUCAACCCACAGUCCAUUGGCUAAAAUGACUCACACAGCUCAUCAAACAGCAGAGGCCCAGGAAAUGUAAUCCGCUCGUGUGCAGAAGGAGGGAAGAAUCAGACAGAGAUGCUAAGUCUCAGAUUCUUCAUCCGCAAAAUGGGAAUUAAAUCUACUGCAAAGGUUGUUGGAAGAGUUAAAAUGGGAUCAUGAAUGUAAAAUGCACGUCAUGAUAUAACACGAACAAAGAGAGCCCGGAGAAAAACAGAACCCUUUCCCUACAGCAGAGAACUGCACCAAUUUUAUUGAGCUCCUGUUCCAACUGGAGAGAGAAGCUUCCUUGAUUUAUGCGUCUGAUAAUAAAAG